UCUUAUUCUUCCUUUUUAUCUUAUUUCUUUUUCUCCAUCUUCUACUCCUUCUUCUUAUUCUUAUGCUUAUUCUUCUUCUUUCUUCUUCUUCUUUCUUUCUUCUUCUUAUUUUUCUUCUCUUUCUUCUUCUUCUUCUUCUUCUUCUCCUUCUUCUCCUUCUUCUUCUUCUUCUUCUUCUUCUUAUUAUUAUUAUUAUUAUUAUUAUUAUUAUUAUUAUAGUCUUCUUUUUCUUCUUCUUCUAACUUUCUUACUCCCAUUUUUGCAGAUUUGAUUCUCUUCAUCGAAGCUG
rnacentral:lncRNA from 1 species